rnacentral:lncRNA from 1 species
AUUGAAUGAAAAUUAUUUUUAUAACGAAUCACAAAAAUUAAAAGAAAUAAUAAUUACAAAUAAAUAUUUAAAUAAGGCUAAAAAUAUAUUAAAUAACAUACCUAUUUUUUUGUAUACAAUAAUUGAAAAGUUUGAAUCAACAGGGUCUAACUUUCAAGAGGAUAUGUAUUUAUUUAUUCUUCUUUCUUUAAAUAAGUGGAUAAAAAAGAUAAUAAACGAAUGUGAAAAAUAUACUUCAUAUAAGAAACCCAGAAACGUAAACAAAAAAAACAAUGAAGAGGACGAUAAGUAUAAAAAAUUGAAUGAAUAUUUAAAUGAUAUAUUACAAAGAGGAGCUGAACAAACAGUUUUAUUUGCUGAUGACAAACAUUUUUACAUAUGUCCUUUCAAUUUAACAUAUAACAUAAAUACUUCUUUUUUAACUUAUUAUUUUUUAUACAUAAAUAAGAAUUUGUUUGAUUUUAUUAAAGGUGAGUAUUUUUAUUUGGAAAAUGGGUCCAAAGAAGCUGAGGUACCAGCAAGUGGCGGGAAAAUAAGGAAUAUAAAACUAAAGCAAAACAAAAAUAAUAAAACUGAUGAUGAUACGCCAAAAGUAAAAGUCAUUUAUUUAAAGAGGACAAAAACCGAUAGUAUAUAUACGAAUAGACAUAUAUAUAAAUAUCAAUUUUAUAAUGAAAGUAUAGAUAUGAAUAACUUUUCAAUUAACUUAGGUUUUUAUAUAAAUUAUGAACAUAUAUAUCCUAAUAUAUUUUUAAUUUAUAAUUAUCUAUUAUAUGAAGAAACAGUAAAUAUUAUGAAACUGCUAUAUAAUGUACAACAAAAUAAUUUAUAUUUAAUGUUUUAUCAGGAUGCUUCAAUAUUAAUACAAGUGUUGUUAUACUUAUUUGACAAUUUGAAAAAAUUAUUUUUUAAUGCCGUGACAUACGAGAAGGAACAAAAAAAACUUGAAGAUGCCGUUAGUAGUAAUAAUAAUAGUAAUAAUAGUAAUAAUAGUAAUAAUAAUAAUAGUAAUAAUAAUAAUAGUAAUAAUAAUAAUAGUAAUAAUAGUAAUAAUAGUAAUAAUAAUAAUAGUAAUAAUAAUAAUAGUAAUAAUAAUAAUAGCACAGCUGAUAAACUGCAUGUAAUUAAGGAAAAAAUAAAUAAGACAAAAAAUGAUACUACUUCUUUCUCUUCUUCUUUCUCUUUUUCUGUUCCUUUUUCUGUUCCUUCUUCUUUUCCUUCUUCUUUUCCUUCUUCUUACUAUAAUGGUGUAAACGAUUCUAAUAUGAGCGCAACUGGAAUAACACACAAAACUAAUGUAAUAAAUGAUUAUGACACAUUUCUAGUUUCUAUACGUUUUAUGUUAUUAAAUAU